rnacentral:rRNA from 1 species
UACGUAGGGGGCUAGCGUUAUCCGGAUUUAUUGGGCGUAAAGAGCGUGUAGGCGGCCAUGUAGGUCCGGUGUGAAAACUCGAGGCUUAACCUCGAGAUGUCAUCGGAAACCAUUUGGCUAGAGUCCGGAAGAGGAGAGUGGAAUUCCUGGUGUAGCGGUGAAAUGCGCAGAUAUCAGGAGGAACACCGGUGGCGAAGGCGGGUCUCUGGGCCGAUACUGACGCUGAGGAGCGAAAGCGUGGGGAGCGAACAGG